rnacentral:rRNA from 1 species
GAAUAUUGGACAAUGGGCGCAAGCCUGAUCCAGCCAUGCCGCGUGAGUGAUGAAGGCCCUAGGGUUGUAAAGCUCUUUCAACGGUGAAGAUAAUGACGGUGACCGUAAAAGAAUCCCCGGCUAACUUCGUGCCAGCAGCCGCGGUAAUACGAAGGGGGCUAGCGUUGUUCGGAAUUACUGGGCGUAAAGCGCACGUAGGCGGAUAUUUAAGUCAGAGGUGAAAUCCCGGAGCUCAACUUCGGAACUGCCUUUGAUACUGGGUAUCUUGAGUAUGGAAGAGGUAAGUGGAAUUGCGAGUGUAGAGGUGAAAUUCGUAGAUAUUCGCAGGAACACCAGUGGCGAAGGCGGCUUACUGGUCCAUUACUGACGCUGAGGUGCGAAAGCGUGGGGAGCAAACAGG